rnacentral:rRNA from 1 species
GACGAACGCUGGCGGCGUGCUUAACACAUGCGAGUCGAACGGAAAGGCCCUGCUUUUGUGGGGUGCUCGAGUGGCGAACGGGUGAGUAACACGUGAGUAACCUGCCCUUGACUUUGGGAUAACUUCAGGAAACUGGGGCUAAUACCGGAUAGGAGCUCCUGCUGCAUGGUGGGGGUUGGAAAGUUUCGGCGGUUGGGGAUGGACUCGCGGCUUAUCAGCUUGUUGGUGGGGUAGUGGCUUACCAAGGCUUUGACGGGUAGCCGGCCUGAGAGGGUGACCGGCCACAUUGGGACUGAGACACGGCCCAGACUCCUACGGGAGGCAGCAGUGGGGAAUAUUGCACAAUGGGCGGAAGCCUGAUGCAGCAACGCCGCGUGCGGGAUGACGGCCUUCGGGUUGUAAACCGCUUUCGCCUGUGACGAAGCGUGAGUGACGGUAAUGGGUAAAGAAGCACCGGCUAACUACGUG